CCUACGGGUGGCAGCAGUCGAGAAUCAUUCACAAUGGGGGAAACCCUGAUGGUGCGACGCCGCGUGGGGGAAUGAAGGUCUUCGGAUUGUAAACCCCUGUCAUGUGGGAGUAACUUAAAAAGAUAGUACCACAAGAGGAAGAGACGGCUAACUCUGUGCCAGCAGCCGCGGGAAUACAGAGGUCUCAAGCGUUGUUCGGAAUCACUUGGCGUAAAGCGUGCGUAGGCUGUUUCGUAAGUCGUGUGUGAAAGGCGCGGGCUCAACCCGCGGACGGCACAUGUUACUGGGAGACUAGAGUAAUGGAGGGGGAACCGGAAUUCUCGGUGUAGCAGUGAAAUGCGUAGAUAUCGAGAGGAACACUCGUGGCGAAGGCGGGUUCCUGGACAUUAACUGACGCUGAGGCACGAAGGCCAGGGGAGCGAAAGGGAUUAGAUACCCCUGUAGUC
rnacentral:rRNA from 1 species